GCAUUCGAAUUGCAAUUUUCUUAUACCAUGUCGUUAAAAUGUCUGUGACCGUAUGUAUUCACUAUCAUAUCACAGCCAUUUUGACGAGUUUGGGUAAAGAAAUCUCAACAGAGCUCGCGU
rnacentral:pre_miRNA from 15 species